UACGUAGGGUGCGAGCGUUAAUCGGAAUUACUGGGCGUAAAGCGUGCGCAGGCGGUUCUGUAAGUCUGGCGUGAAAUCCCCGGGCUUAACCUGGGAAUUGCGAUGGAGACUGCAAGGCUAGAAUCUGGCAGAGGGGGGUAGAAUUCCACGUGUAGCAGUGAAAUGCGUAGAGAUGUGGAGGAACACCGAUGGCGAAGGCAGCCCCCUGGGUCAAGAUUGACGCUCAUGCACGAAAGCGUGGGGAGCAAACAGG
rnacentral:rRNA from 1 species